GCUGACACAUCCCGGCCAAUCUCCAGCAGACCCUCCCUCCCAGACCCUCCUACUUCCUGGACAGCAUCCAUGUUGAAGGCAGCUUCAACAUGGAUGCUGUCCAGGAGGUGGGAGGGCCUGGGAGGGAGGGUCUGCCGGAGAUUGGCAGGGAUGUGUCAG